rnacentral:rRNA from 1 species
UACGUAGGGUGCAAGCGUUAAUCGGAAUUACUGGGCGUAAAGCGUGCGCAGGCGGUGAUGUAAGACCGAUGUGAAAUCCCCGGGCUUAACCUGGGAACUGCAUUGGUGACUGCAUUGCUCGAGUAUGGCAGAGGGGGGUGGAAUUCCACGUGUAGCAGUGAAAUGCGUAGAGAUGUGGAGGAACACCGAUGGCGAAGGCAGCCCCCUGGGCCAAUACUGACGCUCAUGCACGAAAGCGUGGGGAGCAAACAGGAUUAGAGUACCC